CAAGUAAGACAGGUAAUCGCGGCUGUCAGGACCGAAAGGGGACAGGCGAGGAAAGUCCGGGCUUCACAGGGCAGGAUGCCGGAUAACGUCCGGUGGAGGUGACUCCAAGGCAAGUGCAACAGAAAUAUACCGCCUGUGCAUGCAGGUAAGGGUGGAAUGGCAGUUUAAGAGACUACCGCUUCUCUGGUAACAGCGAAGGCAGAUGUAAACCCCAUCCGAAGCAAGACCGGAUAAAGACGAUGUGGCGGCCCGUCACGUCUUAGGUAGGUCGCUUGAACCUGCCGGUAACGGCAGGUCUAGAAAGAUGAUUACCCAACGACAUAACUCGGCUUAUCGUUUUGCUUGCAUA
rnacentral:RNase_P_RNA from 1 species